rnacentral:rRNA from 1 species
GACGAACGCUGGCGGCGUGCUUAACACAUGCAAGCCGAGCGAUGAAGCACCUUCGGGUGUGGAUUAGCGGCGAACGGGUGAGGAACACGUGAGGAAUCUGCCUUCCACUCUGGGAUAACUCCGGGAAACCGGGGCUAAUACCGGAUAUUUUCAACUGGCGGCAUCGCCGGUUGAAGAAAGUUUUUCGGUGGAAGAUGACCUCGCGGCCUAUCAGCUUGUUGGUGAGGUAAAGGCUCACCAAGGCGACGACGGGUAGCCGGGCUGAGAGGGUGACCGGCCACACUGGGACUGAGACACGGCCCAGACUCCUACGGGAGGCAGAAGUGGGGAAUAUUGGGCAAUGGAGGAAACUCUGACCCAGCGACGCCGCGUGAGGGAUGAAGGCCUUCGGGUUGUAAACCUCUUUCAGCAGGGAAUAAGCGAAAGUGAAGGUACCUGCAGAAGAAGCACCGGCUAACUAUGUGCCAGCAGCCGCCGUAA